rnacentral:ncRNA from 2 species
GAUGAGAGACAGGGGCGUUCGUCGACAGACGGGCUGAGAAGCACCCUUCGAACCUGAACCGGAUAAUGCCGGCGGAGGGAGUCGCUCGGGGCAUCGC